AGGUCAUGAUGUGGACAGUUGCGCAAUACAUCCUUGUAUCUCUCUCAUGCCUCAUAUAAUGAUUCACCCUCAAAUUGUGUGAAUGUAGUAGUGAUAUCAUUCCUUAAUUU